rnacentral:rRNA from 1 species
UACGUAGGGACCGAGCGUUGUCCGGAUUCAUUGGGCGUAAAGAGCUCGUAGGCGGCCACUCAAGUCGAAUGUGAAACCUCGAGGCUUAACCUCGAGCCUGCAUUCGAUACUGGGCGGCUAGAGUCUGGUAGGGGGAUCUGGAAUUCCUGGUGUAGCGGUGGAAUGCGCAGAUACUCAGGAGGAACACCGGUGGCGAAGGCGGGUCUCUGGGCCGAUACUGACGCUGAGGAGCGAAAGCAUGGGUAGCGAACAGG